rnacentral:rRNA from 1 species
AGAAGCAGCCACCCUUUAAAGAAAGCGUAAUAGCUCACUAGUCGAGUCGGCCUGCGCGGAAGAUGUAACGGGGCUCAAACCACACACCGAAGCUGCGGGUGUAACGCAAGUGACGCGGUAGAGGAGCGUUCUGUAAGCCUGUGAAGGUGAGUUGAGAAGCUUGCUGGAGGUAUAAGAAGUGCGAAUGCUGACAUGAGUAACGACAAUGGGUGUGAAAAACACCCACGCCGAAAGACCAAGGGUUCCUGCGCAACGUUAAUCGACGCAGGGUUAGUCGGUUCCUAAG